rnacentral:rRNA from 1 species
CACGUAGGGUGCGAGCGUUGUCCGGAAUUAUUGGGCGUAAAGGGCUCGUAGGCGGUCUGUUGCGUCGGGAGUGAAAACUCAGGGCUUAACCCUGAGCCUGCUUCCGAUACGGGCAGACUAGAGGUAUGCAGGGGAGAACGGAAUUCCUGGUGUAGCGGUGAAAUGCGCAGAUAUCAGGAGGAACACCGGUGGCGAAGGCGGGUCUCUGGGCCGAUACUGACGCUGAGGAGCGAAAGCGUGGGGAGCGAACAGG